GAUGAACGCUGGCGGCGUGCCUAAUACAUGCAAGUCGAGCGAACAGACGAGGAGCUUGCUCCUCUGACGUUAGCGGCGGACGGGUGAGUAACACGUGGAUAACCUACCUAUAAGACUGGGAUAACUUCGGGAAACCGGAGCUAAUACCGGAUAAUAUAUUGAACUGCAUGGUUCAAUAGUGAAAGACGGUUUUGCUGUCACUUAUAGAUGGAUCCGCGCCGCAUUAGCUAGUUGGUAAGGUAACGGCUUACCAAGGCAACGAUGCGUAGCCGACCUGAGAGGGUGAUCGGCCACACUGGAACUGAGACACGGCCCAGACUCCUACGGGAGGCAGCAGUAGGGAAUCUUCCGCAAUGGGCGAAAGCCUGACGGAGCAACGCCGCGUGAGUGAUGAAGGUCUUCGGAUCGUAAAACUCUGUUAUUAGGGAAGAACAAAUGUGUAAGUAACUAUGCACGUCUUGACGGUACCUAAUCAGAAAGCCACGGCUAACUACGUG
rnacentral:rRNA from 1 species